rnacentral:lncRNA from 1 species
UGGAAGGCUCUAGGGGAAUAAAGAUGGAAAGACUUCUAAUUUUUAGGUCCGUAUGAUUUGAAAUACUUGCACACAAACCGCACGAAAGCGUUCCUGGAAAUCUCAGCCUAAAAAGGAUGUUUAGUAAUUCUAAAAGGGACUACAAGAUGAAAAAUAAUAGUUUGGGCAGUUAAAAUUUGAGAUUCGACGAUGCCGUAGAUCCGUUUGGUCAUCAGGUGUUAUGAGCCACACCCAUGUCUAGCUAGAAUAGUGUGUUAGGCUCAGGCUAGAGAAGAAACGGGGAACAAACUGAUGAAAGAAUGAUCAUACCGAGGGAAUUCACUCAGAACUAACAAGAAUGAUAACGUGCUCCGACUGGAGCAGUUUAGAAACUGCUGGAAGGCUCUAAUGGAAUAAAGAUGGAAUGCCUUCAAAUUUCUAGGUCCGUAUGAUUUGAAAUACUUGCACACAAACCGCUCGAAAGCGUUCCUGGAAAUCUCAGCCCAAAAAAGGACGUUUAGUAAUUCUAAAAGGGACUACAGGAUGAAAAACAAUAGUUUUGGCAGUUAAAGUUUGAGAUUCGAUGGUGCCGUAGAUCCGUUUGGUCAUCAGGUGUAACGAGCCACACACAUGUCUAGCUAGAGUAGUGUGCUAGGCUCAGACUAGAGAAGAAACGGGGAACAAAGUGAUGAAAGAAUGAUCAUACCGAGGGAAUUCACUCAGAACUUACAAGAAUGAUAACGUGCUCCGACUGGAGCGCUUUAGUAACUGCUGGAAGGCUCUAGGCGAAUAAAGAUGGAAUGACUUCUAAUUUUUAGGUCCGUAUGAUUUGAAAUACUUGCACACAAACCACGCAAAACCGUUCCUAGAAAUCUCGGUCGAAAAAAGGACGUUUAGUAAUUCUAAAAGGGACUACAGGAUGAAAAACAAUAGUUUUGGCAGUUAAAGUUUGAGAUUCGAUGGUGCCGUAGAUCCGUUUGGUCAUCAGGUGUUACGAGCCACACCCAUGUCUAGCUAGAGUAGUGUGCUAGGUUCAGACUAGAGAAGAAACGGGGAACAAAGUGAUUAAAGAAUGAUCAUACCGAGGGAAUUCACUCAGAACUAACAAGAAUGAUAACGUGCUCCGACUGGAGCGGUUUAGGAACUGCUGGAAGGCUCUAGGGGAAUAAAGAUGGAAUGACUUCUAAUUUUUACGUCCGUAUGAUUUGAAAUACAUGCACACAAACCACGCAAAAGCGUUCCUGGAAAUCUCAGCCUAAAAAAGGACGUUUAGUAAUUCUAAAAGGGACUACAGGAUGAAAAAUAAUAGUUUGGGCAGUUAAAAUUUGAGAUUCGACGCUGCCGUAGAUCCGUUUGGUCAUCAGGUCUUACGAGCCACACCCAUGUCUAGCUAGAAUAGUGUGUUAGGCUCAGGCUAGAGAAGAAACGGGGAACAAACUGAUGAAAGAAUGAUCAUACCGAGGGAAUUCACUCAGAACUAACAAGAAUGAUAACGUGCUCCGACUGGAGCAGUUUAGAAACUCCUGGAAGGCUCUAGGGGAAUAAAGAUGGAAUGACUUCAAAGUUUUAGGUCCGUAUGAUUUGAAAUACUUGCACACAAACCGCGUGAAAGCGUUCCUGGAAAUCUCAACCCAAAAAAGGGCGUUUAGUAAUUCUAAAAGGGACUACAGGAUGUAAAACAAUAGUUUUGGCAGUUAAAGUUUGAGAUUCGAUGGUGCCGUAGAUCCGUUUGGUCAUCAGGUGUAACGAGCCACACCCAUGUCUAGCUAGAGUAGUGUGCUAGGCUCAGACUAGAGAAGAAACGGGGAACAAAGUGAUGAAAGAAUGAUCAUACCGAGGGAAUUCACUCAUAACUAACAAGAAUGAUAACGUGCUCUGACUUGAGCGGUUUAGGAACUGCUGGAAGGCUAUAGGGGAAUAAAGAUGGAAUGACUUCAAAUUUUUAGGUCCGUAUGAUCUGAAAUACUUGCACACAAACCGCGAGAAAGCGUUCCUGGAAAUCUCAACCCAAAAAAGGACGUUUAGUAAUUCUAAAAGGGACUACAGGAUGAAAAACAAUAGUUCUGGCAGUUAUUGUUUGAGAUUCGAUAAUCUCGUAGAUCCGUUUGGUCAUCAGGUGUAACGAGCCACACCCAUGUCUAGCUAGAGUAGUGUGCUAGGCUCAGACUAGAGAAGAAACGGGGAACAAACUGAUGAAAGAAUGAUCAUACCGAGGGAAUUCACUUAGAACUAACAAGAAUGAUAACGUGCUCCGACUGGAGCGGUUUAGGAACUGCUGGAAGGCUCUAGGGGAAUAAAGAAGGAACGACUUCUAAUUUUUAGGUCCGUAUGAUUUGAAAUAUGUGCACACAAACCACGAGAAAGCGUUCCUAGAAAUCUCGGCCCAAAAGAGGACGUUUAGUAUUCUAAAAGGGACUACAGAAUGAAAAACAAUAGUUUUGGCAGUUAAAGUUUGAGAUUUGACGGUGCCGUAGAUCUGUUUGGUCAUCAGGGGUUACGAGCCACACCCAUGUCUAGCUAGAAUAGUGUGUUAGGCUCAGGCUAGAAAAGAAACGGGGAACAAAGUGAUGAAAGAAUGAUCAUACCGAGGGAAUUCACUCAGAACUAACAAGAAUGAUAACAUGCUCCGACUGGAGCGGUUUAGGAACUGCUGGAAGGCUCUAGGGGAAUAAAGAUGGAAUGACUUCUAAUUUUUAGGUCCGUAUGAUUUGAAAUACUUGCACACAAACCGCGCGAAAGCGUUCCUGGAAAUCUCAGCCCAAAAAAGGACGUUUAGUAAUUCUAAAAGGGACUACAGGAUGAAAAACAAUAGUUUUGGCAGUUAAAGUAUGAGAUUCAACGGUGCCGUAGAUCCGUUUGGUCAUUAGGUGUUACGAGCCACACCCAUGUCUAGCUAGAAUAGUGUGCUAGGCUCAGGCUAGAGAAGAAACGGGGAACAAACUGAUGAAAGAAUGAUCAAACCGAGGGAAUUCACUCAGAACUAACAAUAAUGAUAACGUGCUCCGACUGGAGCGGUUUAGGAACUGCUGGAAGUCUCUAGGGGAAUAAAGAUGGAAUGACUUCUAAUUUUUACGUUCGUAUGAUUUGAAAAACUUGCCCAUAAACCGCGCGAAAGUGUUCCUGGAAAUCUCAGCCCAAAAAAGGACGUUUAGUAAUUUUAAAAGGGACUACACGAUGAAAAACAAUAGUUUUGGCAGGUAAAGUUUGAGAUUCGACAGUGCCGUAGAUCCGUUUGGUCAUCAGGUGUUACGAGCCACACCCAUGUCUAGCUAGAAUAGUAUGUUACGCUCAGGUUAGAGAAGAAACGGGGAACAAACUGAUGAAAGAUGAUCAUACCAAGGGAAUUCACUCAGAACUAACAAGAAUGAUAACGUGCUCCGACUGGAGCGGUUUAGGAACUGCUGGAAGGCUCUAGGGGAAUAAAGAUGGAAUGACUUCUAAUUUUUACGUCUGUAUGAUUUGAAAUACUUGCACACAAACAACGCAAAAGCAUUCCUGGAAAUCUCAUCCUAAAAAAGGACGUUUAGUAAUUCUAAAAGGGACUACAGGAUGAAAAAUAAUAGUUUGGGAAGUUAAAAUUUGAGAUUCGAUAGUGCCGUAGAUCCGUUUGGUCAUCAGGUGUUAGGAGCCACACCCAUGUCUAGCUAGAAUAGUGUGUUAGGCUCAGGCUAGAGAAGAAACAGGGAACAAACUGAUGAAAGAAUGAUCAUACCGAGGGAAUUCACUCAGAACUAGCAAGAAUGAUAACGUGCUCCGACUGGAGCAGUUUUGAAACUGCUGGAAGGCUCUAGGGGAAUAAUGAUGGAAUGACUUCUAAGUUUUUGGUCCGUAUGAUUUGAAAUACGUGCACACAAACCCAGAGAAAGUGUUCUUGGAAAUCUCGGCCGAAAAAAGGAUGUUUAAUAAUUCUAAAAGGGACUACAGGAUGAAAAACAAUAGUUUUGGCAGUUAAAGUUUGUGAUUCGAUGGUGCUGUAGAUCUGUUUGGUCAUCAGGUGUUAUGAGCCACACCCAUGUCUAGCUAGAACAGUGUGUUAGGCUCAGGCUAGAGCAGAAACGGGGAACAAACUUAUGAAAGAAUGAUCAUACCGAGGGAAUUCACUCAGAACUAACAAGAAUGAUAACGUGCUCCGACUGGAGAGGUUUAGGAACUGCUGGAAGGCUCUAGGGGAAUAAAGAUGGAAUGACUUCAAAUUUUUAGGUCUGUAUGAUCUGAAAUACUUGCACACAAACCGCGAGAAAGCGUUCCUGGAAAUCUCAGCCCAAAAAAGGACGUUUAGUGAUUCUAAAAGGGACUACGGGAUAAAAAACAAUAGUUUUGGCAGUUAAAGUUUGAGAUUCGAUAAUGCCGUAGAUCCGUUUGGUCAUCAGGUGUAACGAGCCACACCCAUGUCUAGCUAGAGUAGUGUGCUAGGCUCAUACUAGAGAAGAAAUGGGGAACAAACUGAUGAAAGAAUGAUCAUACCGAGGGAGUUCACUCAAAACUAACAUGAAUGAUAACGUGCUCCGACUGGAGCGGUUUAGGAACUGCUGGAAGGCUCUAGGGGAAUAAAGAUGGAAUGACUUCUAAUUUUUAGGUCCGUAUGAUUUGAAAUACAUGCACACAAACCCCAAGAAAGCGUUCCUGGAAAUCUCGCCCCGAAAAACGACGUUUAGUAAUUCUAAAAGGGACUAUAGGAUGAAAAACAAUAGUUUUGGCAGUUAAAGUUUGAGAUUUGACGGUGCCGUAGAUCUGUUUGGUCAUCAGGUGUUACGAGCCACACCCAUUUCUAGCUAGAAUAGUGUGUUAGGCUCAGGCUAGAAAAGAAACGGGGAACAAAGUGAUGAAAGAAUGAUCAUACCGAGGGAAUUCACUCAGAACUAACAAGAAUGAUAACAUGGUCCGACUGGAGCGGUUUAGGAACUGCUGGAAGGCUCUAGGGGAAUAAAGAUGGAAUGACUUCUAACUUUUAGGUCCGUAUGAUUUGAAUUACUUGCACACAAACCGCGCGAAAGCGUUCCUGGAAAUCUCAGCCCAAAAAAGGACGUUUAGUAAUUCUAAAAGGGACUACAGGAUGAAAAACAAUAGUUUUGGCAGUUAAAGUUUGAGAUUCGACGGUGCCGUAGAUCCGUUUGGUCAGCAGGUGUUACGAGCCACACCCAUGUCUAGCUAGAGUAGUGUGCUAGGUUCAGACUAGAGAAGAAAUGUUGGGGAACGUAGCAGAAAUUCAAAAUUUUCCUACGUGUCACCAAGAUCUAUCUAUGGAGAGACUAGCAACGAGGGAAGGAGAGUGCAUCUACAUACCCUUGUAGAUCGCUAAGCGGAAGCGUUCAAGUGAACGGGGUUGAUGGAGUCGUACUCGUCGUGAUUCAGCUCACCGAUGAUCCUAGUGCCGAACGGACGGCACCUCCGCGUUCAACACACGUACAGCUCGACGAUGUCUCCCACGCCUUGAUCCAGCAAGGAGAGAGGGAGAGGUUGAGGAAGACUCCAUCCAGCAGAAGCACAACGGCGUGGUGGUGAUGGAGGAGCAUGGCAAUCCUGCAGGGCUUCGCCAAGCACCUAUGGGAGAGGAGGAGGUGUCACGGGAGGGAGGGAGGCGCCAAGGGCUCAGGUAUAGAUGCCCUCCCUCCCCUCCACUAUAUAUAGGGGCAAGGGAGAGGGGGGAGGCGCAGCCUUGCCCCUUCCUCCAAGGAAGGGGUGCGGCUAAGAGGGGGGGAGGAGUCCAUCCUCCCCAAGGCACCUCGGAGGUGCCUUCCCCCUUUAGGACUCUCCCCUUUUUCCUAUAUCUUGGCGCAUGGGCCUCUAGGGGCUGGUUCCCUUGGCCCAUGUAGGCCCAGGCGCACCCCCUACAGCCCAUGUGGCCCCCCGGGGCAGGUGGCCCCACCUGGUGGGCCCCCGGGACCCUUCCGGUGGUCCCGGUACAAUACCGAUGACCCCGAAACUUGUCCCGAUGGCCGAAACAGGACUUCCUAUAUAUAAAUCUUUACCUCCGGACAAUUCCGGAACUCCUCGUGACGUCCGGGAUCUCAUCCGGGACUCCGAACAACAUUCGGUAACCACAUACAAACUUCCUUUAUAACCCUAGCGUCAUCGAACCUUAAGUGUGUAGACCCUACGGGUUCGGGAGACAUGUAGUCAUGACCGAGAUGUUCUCCGGUCAAUAACCAACAGCGGGAUCUGGAUACCCAUGUUGGCUCCCACAUGUUCCACGAUGAUCUCAUCGGAUGAACCACGAUGUCAAGGACUCAAUCAAUCCCGUAUACAAUUCCCUUUGUCUAGCGGUAUGGUACUUGCCCGAGAUUCGAUCGUCGGUAUACCGAUACCUUGUUCAAUCUCGUUACCGGCAAGUCUCUUUACUCAUUUCGUAACACAUCAUCCCGUGAUCAACCCCUUGGUCACAUUGUGCACAUUAUGAUGAUGUCCUACCGAGUGGGCCCAGAGAUACCUCUCCGUUUACACGGAGUGACAAAAUCCCAAUCUCGAUUCGUGCCAACCCAACAGACACUUUCAGAGAUACCCGUAGUGUACCUUUACAGCCACCCAGUUACGUUGUGACGUUUGGCACACCCAAAGCACUCCUACAGUAUCCGGGAGUUGCACAAUCUCAUGGUCUAAGGAAAUGAUACUUGACAUUAGAAAAGCUUUAGCAUACGAACUACAUGAUCUUGUGCUAGGCUUAGGAUUGGGUCUUGUCCAUCACAUCAUUCUCCUAAUGAUGUGAUCCCGUUAUCAACGACAUCCAAUGUCCAUGGUCAGGAAACCGUAACCAUCUAUUGAUUAACGAGCUAGUCAACUAGAGGCUUACUAGGGACAUGGUGUUGUCUAUGUAUCCACACAUGUAUCUAAGUUUCCUAUCAAUACAAUUCUAGCAUGGAUAAUAAACGAUUAUCAUGAACAAGGAAAUAUAAUAAUAAUCAAUUUAUUAUUGCCUCUAGGGCAUAUUUCCAACAGUCUCCCACUUGCACUAGAGUCAAUAAUCUAGUUCACAUCGAUAUGUGAUUAACACUCAAGGUCACAUUCCCAUGUGACUAACACCCAAGAGUUUACUAGAGUCAAUAAUCUAGUUCACAUUUACCAUGUGAUUAACACUUGAUGAGUUCUGGGUUUGAUCAUGUUAUGCUUGUGAGAGAGGUUAUAGUCAACGGGUCUGAACCUUUCAGAUCCGUGUGUGCUUUACAAAUCUCUAUGUCAUCUCCUAGAUGCAGCUACCACGUUCUAUUUGGAGCUAUUCCAAAUAACUGUUCUACUUGGAGCUAUUCUAAAUUGUUGCUCCAUUAUACGUAUCCGGUAUCUCUACUCAGAGCUAUCCGGAUAGGUGUUAAGCUUGCAUCGACGUAACCCUUUACGACGAACUCUUUUACCACCUCCAUAAUUGAGAAAAUUCCUUAGUCCACUAGUUACUAAGGAUAACUUUGACCGCUGUCCUGUGAUCCAUUCUUGGAUCACUCUUGUACCCCUUGACUGACUCAUGGUAAAGCACACUUCAGGUGCGGUACACAGCAUAGCAUACUGUAGAGCCUAUGUCUUAAGCAUAGGGGACGACCUUCGUUCCUUUCUCUCUAUUCUGCCAUGGUCGAGCUUUAAGUCUUAACUUCAUACCUUACAACUCAGGCAAGAACUCCUUCUUUGACUGAUCCAUCUUGAACACCUUCAAGAUCACGUCAAGGCAUGUGCUCACGUCAAGAUCACGUCGGUAUACCGAUACCUUGUUCAAUCUCGUUACCGGCAAGUCUCUUUACUCGUUCCGUAACACAUCAUCCCGUGAUCAACCCCUUGGUCACAUUGUGCACAUUAUGAUGAUGUCCUACCGAGUGGGCCCAGAGAUACCUCUCCGUUUACACGGAGUGACAAAAUCCCAAUCUCGAUUCGUGCCAACCCAACAGACACUUUCAGAGAUACCCGUAGUGUACCUUUAUAGCCACCCAGUUACGUUGUGACGUUUGGCACACCCAAAGCACUCCUACGGUAUCCGGGAGUUGCACAAUCUCAUGGUCUAAGGAAAUGAUACUUGACAUUAGAAAAGCUUUAGCAUACGAACUACAUGAUCUUGUGCUAGGCUUAGGAUUGGGUCUUGUCCAUCACAUCAUUCUCCUAAUGAUGUGAUCCCGUUAUCAACGACAUCCAAUGUCCAUGGUCAGGAAACCGUAACCAUCUAUUGAUUAACGAGCCAGUCAACUAGAGGCUUACUAGGGACAUGGUGUUGUCUAUGUAUCCACACAUGUAUCUGAGUUUCCUAUCAAUACAAUUCUAGCAUGGAUAAUAAACGAUUAUCAUGAACAAGGAAAUAUAAUAAUAAUCAAUUUAUUAUUGCCUCUAGGGCAUAUUUCCAACAGUCUCCCACUUGCACUAGAGUCAAUAAUCUAGUUCACAUCACCAUGUGAUUAACACUGACAGGUCACAUCACCAUGUGACCAACAUCCAAAGAGUCUUGGGUUUGAUCAUGUUGCUUGUGAGAGAGGUUAUAGUCAACGGGUCUGAACCUUUCAGAUCCGUGUGUGCUUUACAAAUCUCUAUGUCAUCUCCUAGAUGCAGCUACCACGUUCUAUUUGGAGCUAUUCCAAAUAACUGUUCUACUUGGAGCUAUUCUAAAUUGUUGCUCCAUUAUACGUAUCCGGUAUCUCUACUCAGAGCUAUCCGGAUAGGUGUUAAGCUUGCAUCGACGUAACCCUUUACGACGAACUCUUUUACCACCUCCAUAAUUGAGAAAAUUCCUUAGUCCACUAGUUACUAAGGAUAACUUUGACCGCUGUCCUGCGAUCCAUUCUUGGAUCACCCUUGUACCCCUUGACUGACUCAUGGUAAAGCACACUUCAGGUGCGGUACACAGCAUAGCAUACUGUAGAGCCUAUGUCUUAAGCAUAGGGGAUGACCUUCGUUCCUUUCUCUCUAUUCUGCCAUGGUCGAGCUUUAAGUCUUAACUUCAUACCUUACAACUCAGGCAAGAACUCCUUCUUUGACUGGUCCAUCUUGAACACCUUCAAGAUCAUGUCAAGGUAUGUGCUCAUUUGAAAGUACUAUUAAGCGUUUUGAUCUAUCCUUAUAGAUCUUGAUGCUCAAUGUUCAAGUAGCUUAAUCCAGGUUUUCCAUUGAAAACACUUUCCAAAUAACCCUAUAUGCUUUCCAGAAAUUCUACGUCAUUUCUGAUCAUUAAUAUGUCAACAACAUAUAAUCAUCAGAAAUUCUAUAGUGCUCCCACUCACUUCUUUGGAAAUACAAGUUUCUCAUAAACUUUGUAUACACCCAAAAUCUUUGAUCAUCAUCAAAGCAUACAUUCCAACUCCGAGAUGCUCACUCCAGUCCUCAGAAGGAUUGCUGGAGCUUUGCAUACUUAUUAGCAUAUUUCAGGAUAGACAAAACCUUCCAGUUGUAUCACAUACAACCUUUCCUCAAGAAUCGUCGACGAAACAAUGUUUUGACAUCCUAUCUGCAAGAUUUCAUAAAUAAUGCAGUAAUUGUUAAUAUAAUUCCAACAGACUCUUAGCAUCGCUACGAGUGAGAAAGUCUCAUUGUAGUCAACUCCUUGAACUUGUCAAAAAACAUCUUAACGACAAGUCGAGCUUUCUCAAUGGUGACACUUACCAUCAUUGUCUGUCUUCCUUUCAAAAUCCAUAUGUACCUAACAGCCUUACGACCAUCAAGUAGUUCUUCCAAAGUCUACACUUUGUUUUCAUACAUGGAUCCUCUCUCGGGUUUUAUGGCCAUGAGCCAUUUAUCGGAAUCCGGGCCCACCAUUGCUUCUCCAUAGCUCGUAGGUUCAUUGUUGUCUAGCAACAUGACUUCCAAGACAGGAUUACUGUACCACUCUGAAGUAGUACGUAUCCUUGUCACCCUACGAGGUUUGGGAGUGACUUGAUCUGAAGUUUCAUGAUCACUAUCAUAAGCUUCUACUUCAAUUGGUGUAGGUGCCACAGGAACAACUUCCUGUGCCCUGCUACACACUGGUUGAAGUGAUGGUUCAAUAACCUCAUCAAGUCUCCACCAUCCUCCCACUCAAUUCUUUCGAGAGAAACCUUUCCUCGAGAAAGGACCCAAUUCUAGAAACAAUUCAUAUUGCUUUCGGAUCUGAAUUAGGAAGUAUACCCAACUGUUUUGGGUGUCCUAUGAAGAUGUACUUUAUCCGCUUUGGUUUCGAGCUUAAUCCUGAAACUUUUUCACAUAAGUGUCGCAGCCCCAAACCUUUAAGAAACGACAACUUAGGUUUCUCUAAACCAUAAUUCAUACGGUGUCAUCUCAUCGGAAUUACGUGGUGCCCUAUUUAAAGUGAAUGUGGUUGUCUUUAAUGCCUAACCCAUAAACUAUCGUGGCAGUUCGAUAAGAGACAUCAUGGUAUGCAUCAUAUCCAAUAGGGUGCAACUAUGAUGUUCGGACACACCAUCACACUAUGGUGUUCCAGGCGGUAUUAAUUGUGAAACAAUUUCCACAAUGUCUUAAUUGUGUGCCAAAACUCGUAACUCAGAUACUCAUCUCUAUGAUCAUAUCAUAGACAUUUUAUCCUCUUGUCACAAUGAUCUUCUACUUCACUCUGAAAUUACUUGAACCAUUCAACAAUUCAGACUUGUGUUUCAUCAAGUAAAUAUUCUCAACAUCUACUCGAAUCAUCUGUGAAGUAAGAACAUAACGAUAUUCACUGCAUGCCUCAGCACUCAUUGGACUGCACACAUCAAAAUGUGUUACUUCCAACAAGUUGCUAUCUUGUUCCAUCUUACUGAAAACGAGGCUUUUCAGUCAUCUUGCCCAUGUGGUAUGAUUUGCAUGUCCCAAGUGAUUCAAAAAUCAAGUGAGUCAAAACGGUCCAUUUGCAUGGAGUUUCUUCAUGCAUAUACACCAAUAGACAUGGUUCGCAUGUCUCAAACUUUUCAAAAACGAGUGAGCCCAAAGAUCCAUCAAUAUGGAGCUUCUUCAUGCGUUUUAUACCGAUAUGACUUACGUGGUAGUGCCACAAGUAGGUGGUACUAUCAUUACUAUCUUUUGGCAUGAACAUGUGUAUCACUACGAUCGAGAUUUAAUAAACCAUUCAUUUUAGGUGUAAGACCAUUGAAGGUAUUAUUCAAAUAAACAGAGUAACCAUUAUUCUCCUUAAAUGAAUAACCGUAUUGCGAUAGACGUAAUCCAAUCAUGUCUAUGCUCAACGCAAACACCAAAUAACAAUUAUUUAGGUUUAACACCAAUCUCUUUGGUAGAGGGAGCGUGCGAUGCUUGAUCAUAUCAAGCAUGGAAAAACUUACAACACAUAUCGUCAGCUCACCUUUAGCUAGUCUCUGUUUAUUCCGUAGCCUUUUGUUUCGAGUUACUAACACUUAGCAACCGAACUGGUAUCUAAUACCCUGGUGCUACUAGGAGUACUAGCAAAGUACACAUUAACACAAUGUAUAUCCAAUAUACUUCUAUCGACCUUGCCAGCCUUCUUAUCUACCAAGUAUCUAGGGUAAUUCUGCUCUAGUAGUUGUUCCCCUUAUUACAGAAGCACUUAGUCUCGGGUUUGGGUUUUACCUUGGGUUUCUUCACUAGAGCAGCAGCUGAUUUGCCGUUUCAUGAAGUAUCCCUUCUUGCCCUUGCCCUUCUUGAAACUAGUGGUUCCACCAACCAUCAACAAUUGAUGCUCCUUCUUGAUUUCUACUUUCGCGGUGUCAAACAUCGCGAAUACCUCAAGGAUCAUCAUAUCUAUCCCUGAUAUGUUAUAGUUCAUCAUGAAGCUCUAACAGCUUGGUGGCAAUGACUUUGGAGAACCAUCACUAUCUCAUCUGGAAGAUCAACUCCCACUCGAUUCAAGCGAUUGUUGUACUCAGACAAUCUGAGCACAAGCUCAACGAUUGAGCUUUUCUCCCUUAGUUUGCAGGUUAAGAAAGUCAUCGGAGGUCUUAUACCUCUUGACAUGGGCACGAGCCUGAAAUCCCAAUUUCAGCCCUCAAAACAUCUCAUAUGUUUCGCGAUGUUUCAAAAACGUCUUUGGUGCCUCAACUCUAAACCGUUUAACUGAACUAUCACGUAGUUAUCAAAACGUGUAUGUCAGAUGUUCGCAACAACCACAGACAACGUUCGAGGUUCAGCACACUGAGCGGUGCAUUAAGGACAUAAGCCUUCUAUGAAGCAAUGAGGACAAUCCUCAGUUUACGGACCUAGUCCGCAUAAUUGCUACUAUCAACUUUCAACUAAUUUUUCUCUAGGAACAUAUCUAAACAGUAGAACUAUAGCGUGAGCUACGACAUAAUUUGCAAAAACCUUUUGACUAUGUUCAGGAUAAUUAAGUUCAUCUUAUGAACUCCCACUCAGAUAGACAUCCCUCUAGUCAUCUAAGUGAUUACAUGAUCCGAGUCAAACUAGGCCGUGUCCGAUCAUCACGUGAGACGGACUAGUCAUCAUCGGUGAACAUCUUCAUGUUGAUCGUAUCUUCUAUACGACUCAUGUUCGACCUUUCGGUCUUCGUGUUCCGAGGCCAUGUAUGUACAUGCUAGGCUCGUCAAGUUAACCCUAAGUGUUUCGCGUGUGUAAAUCUGUCUUACACCCGUUGUAUGUGAACGUUAGAAUCUAACACCCGAUCAUCACGUGGUGCUUCGAAACACGAACUGUCGCAACGGUGCACAGUUAGGGGAGAACACUUCUUGAAAUUGUUGUAAGGGAUCAUCUUAUUUACUACCGUCGUUCUAAGCAAAUAAGAUGUAUAAACAUGAUAAACAUCACAUGCAAUCAAAUAGUGACAUGAUAUGGCCAUCAUCACUUUGCUCCUUUUGAUCUCCAUCUUCGGGGCUCCAUGAUCAUCAUCGUCACCGGCAUGACACCAUGAUCUCCAUCAUCAUGAUCUCCAUCAUCGUGUCUUCAUGAAGUUGCCUCGCCAACUAUUACUUCUACUACUAUGGCUAACGGUUAGCAAUAAAGUAAAGUAAUUACAUGACGUUUAAGUUGACACGCAGGUCACAAAUGAAUAAAGACAACUCCUAUGGCUCCUGCCGGUUGUCAUACUCAUCGACAUGCAAGUCGUGAUUCCUAUUACAAGAACAUGAUCAAUCUCAUACAUCACAUAUAUCAUUCAUCACAUCCUUUUUGGCCAUAUCACAUCACAUAGCAUACCCUGCAAAAACAAGUUAGACGUCCUCUAAUUGUUGUUUGCAUGUUUUACGUGGCUGCUAUGGGUUUCUAGCAAGAACGUUUCUUACCUACGCAUGAACAACAACGUGAUAUGCCAAUUGCUAUUUACCCUUCAUAAGGACCCUUUUCAUCGAAUCCGAUCCGACUAAAGUGGGAGAGACAGACACCCGCCAGCCACCUUAUGCAACUAGUGCAUGUUUGUCGGUGGAACCGGUCUCACGUAAGCGUACGUGUAAGGUUGGUCCGGGCCGCUUCAUCCCACGAUGCCGCCGAAUCAAGAUAAGACUAGUAACGGCAAGCAUAUUGAACAAUAUCAACGCCCACAACUACUUUGUGUUCUACUCGUGCAAAGAAUCUACGCAAUAGACCUAGCUCAUGAUGCCACUGUUGGGGAACGUAGCAGAAAUUCAAAAUUUUCCUACGUGUCACCAAGAUCUAUCUAUGGAGAUACUAGCAACGAGGGAAGGAGAGUGCAUCUACAUACCCUUGUAGAUCGCUAAGCGGAAGCGUUCAAGUGAACGGGGUUGAUGGAGUCGUACUCGUCGUGAUUCAGAUCACCGAUGAUCCUAGUGCCGAACGGACGGCACCUCCGCGUUCAACACACGUACAGCUCGACGAUGUCUCCCACGCCUUGAUCCAGCAAGGAGAGAGGGAGAGGUUGAGGAAGACUCCAUCCAGCAGCAGCACAACGGCGUGGUGGUGAUGGAGGAGCGUGGCAAUCCUGCAGGGCUUCGCCAAGCACCUACGGGAGAGGAGGAGGUGUCACGGGAGGGAGGGAGGCGCCAAGGGCUCAGGUAUAGAUGCCCUCCCUCCCCUCCACUAUAUAUAGGGGCAAGGGAGAGGGGGAGGCGCAUCCUUGCCCCUUCCUCCAAGGAAGGGGUGCGGCUAAGAGGGGGGGAGGAGUCCAUCCUCCCCAAGGCACCUCGGAGGUGCCUUCCCCCUUUAGGACUCUCCCCUUUUUCCUAUAUCUUGGCGCAUGGGCCUCUAGGGGCUGGUGCCCUUGGCCCAUGUAGGCCAAGGCGCACCCCCCUACAGCCCAUGUGGCCCCCCGGGGCAGGUGGCCCCACCCGGUGGGCCCCCGGGACCCUUCCGGUGGUCCCGGUACAAUACCGAUGACCCCGAAACUUGUCCCGAUGGCCGAAACAGGACUUCCUAUAUAUAAAUCUUUACCUCCGGACCAUUCCGGAACUCCUCGUGACGUCCGGGAUCUCAUCCGGGACUCCGAACAACAUUCGGUAACCACAUACAAACUUCCUUUAUAACCCUAGCGUCAUCGAACCUUAAGUGUGUAGACCCUACGGGUUCGGGAGACAUGUAGUCAUGACCGAGAUGUUCUCCGGUCAAUAACCAACAGCGGGAUCUGGAUACCCAUGUUGGCUCGCACAUGUUCCACGAUGAUCUCAUCGGAUGAACCACGAUGUCAAGGACUCAAUCAAUCCCGUAUACAAUUCCCUUUGUCUAGCGGUAUGGUACUUGCCCGAGAUUCGAUCGUCGGUAUACCGAUACCUUGUUCAAUCUCGUUACCGGCAAGCCUCUUUACUCGUUCCGUAACACAUCAUCCCGUGAUCAACCCCUUGGUCACAUUGUGCACAUUAUGAUGAUGUCCUACCGAGUGGGCCCAGAGAUACCUCUCCGUUUACACGGAGUGACAAAAUCCCAAUCUCGAUUCGUGCCAACCCAACAGACACUUUCAGAGAUACCCGUAGUGUACCUUUAUAGCCACCCAGUUACGUUGUGACGUUUGGCACACCCAAAGCACUCCUACGGUAUCCGGGAGUUGCACAAUCUCAUGGUCUAAGGAAAUGAUACUUGACAUUAGAAAAGCUUUAGCAUACGAACUACAUGAUCUUGUGCUAGGCUUAGNNNNNNNNNNUGAUCAACCCCUUGGUCACAUUGUGCACAUUAUGAUGAUGUCCUACCGAGUGGGCCCAGAGAUACCUCUCCGUUUACACGGAGUGACAAAAUCCCAAUCUCGAUUCGUGCCAACCCAACAGACAUUUUCAGAGAUACCCGUAGUGUACCUUUAUAGCCACCCAGUUACGUUGUGACGUUUGGCACACCCAAAGCACUCCUACGGUAUCCGGGAGUUGCACAAUCUCAUGGUCUAAGGAAAUGAUACUUGACAUUAGAAAAGCUUUAGCAUACGAACUACAUGAUCUUGUGCUAGGCUUAGGAUUGGGUCUUGUCCAUCACAUCAUUCUCCUAAUGAUGUGAUCCCGUUAUCAACGACAUCCAAUGUCCAUGGUCAGGAAACCGUAACCAUCUAUUGAUUAACGAGCUAGUCAACUAGAGGCUUACUAGGGACAUGGUGUUGUCUAUGUAUCCACACAUGUAUCUGAGUUUCCUAUCAAUACAAUUCUAGCAUGGAUAAUAAACGAUUAUCAUGAACAAGGAAAUAUAAUAAUAAUCAAUUUAUUAUUGCCUCUAGGGCAUAUUUCCAACAAGAAACGGGGAACAAACUGAUGAAAGAAUGAUCAUACCGAGGGAAUUCACUCAGAACUAACAAGAAUGAUAACGUGCUUUGACUGGAGCGGUUUAAAAACUGCUGGAAGGCUCUAGGGGAAUAAAGAUGGAAUGCCUUCAAAUUUCUAGGUCCGUAUGAUUUGAAAUACUUGCACACAAACCGCGCGAAAGCGUUCCUGGAAAUCUCAGCCCAAAAAAGGACGUUUAGUAAUUCUAAAAGGGACUACAGAAUGAAAAACAAUAGUUUUGGCAGUUAAAGUUUGAGAUUCGAUGGUGCCGUAGAUCCGUUUGGUCAUCAGGUGUAACGAGCCACACCCAUGUCUAGCUAGAGUAGUGUGCUAGGCUCAGGCUAGAGAAGAAACGGGGAACAAACUGAUGAAAGAAUGAUCAUACCGAGGGAAUUCACUCAGAACUAACAAGAAUGAUAACGUGCUCCGACUGGAGCGGUUUAGGAACUGCUGGAAGGCUCUAGGGGAAGAAAGAAGGAAUGACUUCUAAUUUUUAGGUCCGUAUGAUUUGAAAUACGUGCACACAAACCGCGCGAAAGCGUUCCUGGAAAUCUCAGCCCAAAAAAGGACGUUUAGUAUUCUAAAAGGGACUACAGAAUGAAAAACAAUAGUUUUGGCAGUUAAAGUUUGAGAUUCGACGGUGCCGUAGAUCCGUUUGGUCAUCAGGUGUUACGAGCCACACCCAUGUCUAGCUAGAAUAGUGUGCNNNNNNNNNNNNNNNNNNNNNNNNNCGUAUGAUUUGAAAUACGUGCACACAAACCGCGCGAAAGCGUUCCUGGAAAUCUCAGCCCAAAAAAGGACGUUUAGUAUUCUAAAAGGGACUACAGAAUGAAAAACAAUAGUUUUGGCAGUUAAAGUUUGAGAUUCGACGGUGCUGUAGAUCCGUUUGGUCAUCAGGUGUUACGAGCCACACCCAUGUCUAGCUAGAAUAGUGUGCUAGGCUCAGGCUAGAGAAGAAAAGGGGAACAAACUAAUGAAAGAAUGAUCAAUACGAGGGAAUUCACUCAGAACUAACAAUAAUGAUAACGUGCUCCGACUGGAGCGGUUUAGGAACUGCUGGAAGGCUCUAGGCGAAUAAAGAUGGAAUGACUUCUAAUUUUUACGUCCGUAUGAUUUGAAAUACUUGCACACAAACCACGCAAAAGCGUUCCUGGAAAUCUCGGCCUAAAAAGGACGUUUAGUAAUUCUAAAAGGGACUACAGGAUGAAAAAUAAUAGUUUGGGCAGUUAAAAUUUGAGAUUCGACGGUGCCGUAGAUCCGUUUGGUCAUCAGGUGUUACGAGCCACACCCAUGUCUAGCUAGAAUAGUGUGUUAGGCUCAGGCUAGAGAAGAAACGAGGAACAAACUGAUGAAAGAAUGAUCAUACCAAGGGAAUUCACUCAGAACUAACAAGAAUGAUAACGUGCUCCGACUGGAGCAGUUUAGAAACUGCUGGAAGGCUCUAGGGGAAUAAAGAUGGAAUGACUUCUGAUUUUUAGGUCCGUAUGAUUUGAAAUACGUGCACACAAACCCCGCGAAAGCGUUCCUGGAAAUCUCAGCCCAAAAAAGGACGUUUAGUAAUUCUAAAAGGGACUACAACAUGAAAAACAAUAGUUUUGGCAGUUAAAGUUUGAGAUUUCAUGGUGCCGUAGAUCUGUUUGGUCAUCAGGUGUUACGAGCCACACCCAUGUCUAGCUAGAAUAGUGUGUUAGGCUCAGGCUAGAAAAGAAACGGGAAACAAAGUGAUGAAAGAAUGACCAUACCGAGGGAAUUCACUCAGAACUAACAAGAAUGAUAACAUGCUCCGACUUGAGCGGUUUAGGAACUGCUGGAAGGCUCUAGGGGAAUAAAGAUGGAAUGACUUCUAAUGUUUAGGUCCGUAUGAUUUGAAAUACUUGCACAUAAACCGCACAAAAGCGUUCCUGGAAAUCUCAGCCCAAAAAAGGACGUUUAGUAAUUCUAAAAGGGACUACAGGAUGAAAAACAAUAGUUUUGGCAGUUAAAGUUUGAGAUUCGACGGUGCCGUAGAUCCGUUUGGUCAUCAGGUGUUACGAGCCACACCCAUGUCUAGCUAGAAUAGUGUGUUAGGCUCAGGCUAGAGAAGAAACUUGGAACAAACUGAUGAAAGAAUGAUCAAACCAACGGAAUUCACUCAGAACUAACAAUAAUGAUAACGUGCUCCGACUGGAGCAGUUUAGGAACUGCUGGAAGGCUCUAGGGGAAUAAAGAUGGAAUGACUUCUAAUUUUUAGGUCCGUAUGAUUUGAAAUACUUGCACGCAAACCGCGCGAAAGCGUUCCUGGAAAUAUCAGCCCAAAAAAGGACGUUUAGUAAUUCUAAAAGGGACUACAGGAUGAAAACAAUAGUUUUGGCAGUUAAAGUUUGAGAUUCAACAGUGCCGUAGAUCCGUUUGGUCAUCAGGUGUUAUGAGCCAUACCCAUGUCUAGCUAGAGUAGUGUGCUAGGCUCAGGCUAGAGAAGAAACAGGGAACAAACUGAUGAAAGAAUGAUCAUACCGAGGGAAUUCACUCAGAACUAACAAGAAUGAUAACGUGCUCCGACUGGAGCGGUUUAGGAACUGCUGGAAGGCUCUAGGGGAAUAAAGAUGGAGUGACUUCUAAAUUUUUAGGUCCGUAUGAUUUAAAAUACUUGCACACAAACCGCACGAAAGCGUUCCUUGAAAUCUCAGCCCAAAAAAGGACGUUUAGUAAGUCUAAAAGGGACUAUAGGAUGAAAAACAAUAGUUUUGGCAGUUAAAGUUUGAGAUUCGAUGGUGCCGUAGAUCUGUUUGGUCAUCAGGUGUUACGAGCCACACCCAUGUCUAGUUGGAAUAGUGUGCUAGGCUCAGACUAGAGAAGAAACAGGGAACAAACUGAUGAAAGAAUGAUCAAACCGAGGAAAUUCACUCAGAACUAACAAUAAUGAUAACAUGCUCCGACUGGAGCGGUUUAGGAACUGCUGGAAGGCUCUAGGGGAAUAAAGAUGGAAUGACUUCUAAAUUUUUAGGUCCGUAUGAUUUGAAAUAGUUGCACACAAACUGCGCGAAAGCGUUCCUGGAAAUCUCAGCCCAAAAAAGGACGUUUAGUAAUUCUAAAAGGGACUAUAGGAUGAAAAACAAUAGUUUUGGCAGUUAAAGUUUGAGAUUCGACGGUGCCGUAGAUCCGUUUGGUCAUCACGUGUUACAAGCCACACCCAUGUCUAGCUAGAGUAGUGUGCUAGGCUCAGACUAUAGAAGAAACGGGGACCAAACUGAUGAAAGAAUGAUCAAACCGAGGAAAUUCACUCAGAACUAACAAUAAUGAUAACAUGCUCCGACUGGAGCGGUUUAGGAACUACUGGAAGGCUCUAGGGGAAUAAAGAUGGAAUGACUUCUAAAUUUUUAGGUCCGUAUGAUUUUAAAUAGUUGCACACAAACUGCGCGAAAGCGUUCCUGGAAAUCUCAGCCCAAAAAAGGACGUUUAGUAAUUCUAAAAGGGACUACAGGAUGAAAAACAAUAGUUUGGGCAGUUAAAAUUUGAGAUUCGACGGUGCCGUAGAUCCGUUUGGUCAUCAGGUGUUACGAGCCACACCCAUGUCUAGCUAGAGUAGUGUGCUAGGCUCAGGCUAGAGAAGAAACAGGGAACAAACUGAUGAAAGAAUGAUCAUACCGAGGGAAUUCACUCAGAACUAACAAGAAUGAUAACGUGCUCUGACUGGAGCGGUUUAAGAACUGUUGGAAGGCUCUAGGGGAAUAAAGAUGGAAUCACUUCAAAUUUUUACGUCCGUGUGAUUUGAAAUACUUGCACACAAACCGCACGAAAGCGUUCCUGGAAAUCUCAGCCCAAAAAAGGACGUUUAGUAAGUCUAAAAGGGACUACACGAUGAAAAACAAUAGUUUUGGCAGUUAAAGUUUGAGAUUCGACAGUGCCGUAGAUCCGUUUGGUCAUCAGGUGUAACGAGCCACACCCAUGUCUAGAUAGAGUAGUGUGCUAGGCUCAAACUAGAGAAGAAACGGGGAACAAACUGAUGAAAGAAUGAUCAUACCGAGGGAAUUCACUCAGAAAUAACAAGAAUGAUAACGUGCUCUGACUGGAGCGGUUUAGGAACUGCUGGAAGGCUCUAGGGGAAUAAAGAAGGAAUGACUUCUAAUUUUUAGGUCCGUAUGAUUUGAAAUACGUGCACACAAACCCCGAGAAAGCGUUCCUGGAAAUCUCGACCCAAAAAAGGACGUUUAGUAAUUCUAAAAGGGACUACGGGAUGAAAAACAAUAGUUUUGGCAGUUAAAGUUUGAGAUUCGAUAAUGCCGUAGAUCCAUUUGGUCAUCAGGUGUAACGAGCCACACCCAUGUCUAGCUAGAGUAGUGUGCUAGGCUCAGACUAGAGAAGAAACAGGGAACAAACUGAUGAAAGAAUGAUCAUAUCGAGGGAAUUCACUCAGAACUAACAAGAAUGAUAACAUGCUCCGACUUGAGCGGUUUAGGAACUGCUGGAAGGCUCUAGGGGAAUAAAGAUGGAAUGACUUCUAAUUUUUAGGUCCGUAUGAUUUGAAAUACUUACACACAAACCACGCGAAAGCGUUCCUGGAAAUCUCAGCCCAAAAAAGGACGUUUAGUAAUUCUAAAAGGGACUACAUGAUGAAAAACAAUAGUUUUCGCAGUUAAAGUUUGAGAUUCGACGGUGCCGUAGAUCCGUUUGGUCAUCAAGUGUUACGAGCCACACCCAUGUCUAGCUAGAAUAGUGUGUUAGGCUCAGCCUAGAGAAGAAACGGGGAACAAACUGAUGAAAGAAUGAUCAUACCGAGGGAAUUCACUCAGAACUUACAAGAAUGAUAACGUGCUCCGACUUGAGCGGUUUAAGAACUGUUGGAAGGCUCUAGGGGAAUAAAGAUGGAAUCACUUCAAAUUUUUACGUCCGUGUGAUUUGAAAUACUUGCACACAAACCCCGAGAAAGCGUUCCUGGAAAUCUCGGCCGAAAAAAGGAUGUUUAAUAAUUCUAAAAGGGACUACAGGAUGAAAAACAAUAGCUUUGGCAGUUAAAGUUUGUGAUUCGAUGGUGCCGUAGAUCUGUUUGGUCAUCAGGUGUUAUGAGCCACACCCAUGUCUAGCUAGAAUAGUGUGUUAGGCUCAGGCUAGAGCAGAAACUAGGAACAAACUUAUGAAAGAAUGAUCAUACCGAGGGAAUUCACUCAGAACUAACAAGAAUGAUAACGUGCUCCGACUGGAGCGGUUUAGGAACUGCUGGAAGGCUCUAGGGGAAUAAAGAUGGAAUGACUUCUAAUUUUUAGGUCCGUAUGAUUUGAAAUACAUGCACACAAACCCCAAGAAAGCGUUCCUAGAAAUCUCAGCCCAAAAAGGACGUUUAGUAAUUCUAAAAGGGACUACAGGAUGAAAAACAAUAGGUUUGGCAGUUAAAGUUUGAGAUUCGAUAAUGCCGUAGAUCCGUUUGGUCAUCAGGUGUAACGAGCCACACCCAUGUCUAGCUACAUUAGUGUGCUAGGCUCAGACUAGAGAAGAAACGGGGAACAAACUGAUGAAAGAAUGAUCAUACCGAGGGAAUUCACUCAGAACUAACAAGAACGAUAACAUGCUCCGACUGCAGCGGUUUAGGAACUGCUGGAAGGCUCUAGGGGAAUAAAGAAGGAAUGACUUCUAAUUUUUAGGUCCGUAUGAUUUGAAAUACUUGCACACAAACCGCGCGAAAGCAUUCCUGGAAAUCUCAGCCCAAAAAAGGACGUUUAGUAAUUCUAAAAGGGACUACAGGAUGAAAAACAAUAAUUUUGGCAGUUAAAGUUUGAGAUUCGACGGUGCCGUAGAUCCGUUUGGUCAUCAGGUGUUACGGGCCAUACCCAUGUCUAGCUAGAAUAGUGUGUUAGGCUCAGGUUAGAGAAGAAACGGGGAACAAAGUGAUGAAAGAAUGAUCAUACCGAGGGAAUUCACUCAGAACUAACAAGAAUGAUAACGUGCUCCGACUGGAGCGGUUUAGGAAUUGCUGGAAGGCUCUAGGGGAAUAAAGAUGGAAUGACUUCUAUAUUUUACGUCCGUAUGAUUUGAAAUACUUGCACACAAACCACGCAAAAGCACUCCUGGAAAUAUCAGCCUAAAAAGGAUGUUUAGUAAUUCUAAAAGGGACUACAGGAUGAAAAAUAAUAGUUUUGGCAGUUAAAAUUUGAGAUUCAACGGUGCCGUAAAUCCGUUUGGUCAUCAGGUGUUACGAGCCACACCCAUGUCUAGCUAGAAUAGUGUGUUAGGCUCAGGUUAGAGAAGAAACGGGGAACAAACUGAUGAAAGAAUGAUCAUACAAGGGGAAUUCACUCAGAACUAUCAAGAAUGAUAACGUGCUCCGACUGGAGCAGUUUAGGAACUGCCGGAAGGCUCUAGGGGAAUAAAGAUGGAAUGACUUCUAAUUUUUAUGUCCGUAUGAUUUGAAAUACUUGCACACAAACCACGCAAAAGCGUUCCUGGAAAUCUCAGCCUAAAAAGGACGUUUAGUAAUUCUAAAAGGGACUACAGGAUGAAAAACAAUAGUUUGGGCAGUUAAAAUUCGAGAUUCGACGGUGCCGUAGAUCCGUUUGGUCAUCAGGUGUUACGAGCCACACCCAUGUCUAGCUAGAAUAGUGUGUUAGGCUCAGGCUAGAGAAGAAACGGGGAACAAACUGAUGAAAGAAUGAUCAUAUCGAGGGAAUUCACUCAGAACUAACAAGAAUGAUAACGUGCUCCGACUGGAGCGGUUUAGUAACUGCUGGAAGGCUCUAGGGGAAUAAAGAUGGAAUGACUUCUAAUUAUUAGGUCCGUAAGAUUUGAAUUACAUGCACACAAACCCCGAGAAAGCGUUCCUGGAAAUCUCGGUCGAAAAAAGGAUGUUUAGUAAUUCUAAAAGGGACUACAGGAUGAAAAACAAUAGUUUUGGCAGUUAAAGUUUGUGAUUCGAUGGUGCCGUAGAUCUGUUUGGUCAUCAGGUGUUACGAGCCACACCCAUGUCUAGCUAGAAUAGUGUGUUAGGCUCAGGCUAGAGCAGAAACGGGGAACAAACUUAUGAAAGAAUGAUCAUGCCGAGGGAAUUCACUCAGAACUAACAAGAAUGAUAACGUGCUCCGACUGGAGCGGUUUAGGAACUGCUGGAAGGCUCUAGGGGAAUAAAGAUGGAAUGACAUCAAAUUUUUAGGUCCGUAUGAUUUGAAAUACUUGCACACAAACCGCAAGAAAGCGUUCUUGGAAAUCUCCGCCCAAAAAAGGACGUUUAGUAAUUCUAAAAGGGUCUACAGGAUGAAAAACAAUAGUUCUGGCAGUUAAAGUUUGAGAUUCGAUAAUGUCGUAGAUCCGUUUGGUCAUCAGGCGUAACGAGCCACACCCAUUUCUAGCUAGAGUAGUGUGCUAGGCUCAGACUAGAGAAGAAACGGGGAACAACCUGAUGAAAGAAUGAUCAUACCGAGGGAAUUCACUCAGAACUAACAAGAAUGAUAACGUGCUCCGACUGGAGCGGUUUAGGAACUGCUGGAAGGCUCUACGGGAAUAAAGAAGGAAUGACUUCUAAUUUUUAGGUCCGUAUGAUUUGAAAUACGUGCACACAAACCCCGAGAAAGCGUUCCUGGAAAUCUCGGCCCAAAAAAGGACGUUUAGUAUUCUAAAAGCGACUACAGAAUGAAAAACAAUAGUUUUGGUAGUUAAAGUUUGAGAUUUAACGGUGCCGUAGAUCUGUUUGGUCAUCAGGUGUUACGAGCCACACCCAUGUCUAGCUAGAAUAGUGUGUUAGGCUCAGGCUAGAUAAGAAACAGGGAACAAAGUGAUGAAAGAAUGAUCAUACCAAGGGAAUUCACUCAGAACUAACAAGAACGAUAACAUGCUCCGACUGGAGUGGUUUAGGAACUGCUGGAAGGCUCUAGGGGAAUAAAGAUGGAAUGACUUCUAAUUUUUAGGUCUGUAUGAUUUGAAAUACUUGCACACAAACCGCACGAAAGCGUUCCUGGAAAUCUCAUCCCAAAAAAGGACGUUUAGUAAUUCUAAAAGGGACUACAGGAUGAAAAACAAUAGUUUUGGCAGUUAAAGUUUGAGAUUCGAUAAUGCUGUAGAUCCGUUUGGUCAUCAGGUGUAACGAGCCACACCCAUGUCUAGCUAGAGUAGUGUGCUAGGCUCAGACUAGAGAAGAAACGGGGAACAAACUGAUGAAAGAAUGAUCAUACCGAGGGAAUUCACUCAGAACUAACAAUAAUGAUAACGUGCUCCGACUGGAGCGGUUUAGGAACUGCUGGAAGGCUCUAGGGGAAUAAAGAUGGAAUGAGUUCUAAUUUUUAGGUCUGUAUGAUUUGAAAUACUUGCACACAAACCGCGUGAAAGCAUUCCUGGAAAUUUCAGCCCAAAAAAGGACGUUUAGUAAUUUUAAAAGGGACUACACGAUGAAAAACAAUAGUUUUGGCAGUUAAAGUUUGAGAUUCGACGGUGCCGUAGAUCCGUUUGGUCAUCAGGUGUUACGAGCCACACCCAUGUCUAGCUAGAAUAGUAUGUUAGGCUCGGGUAAGAGAAGAAACGGGGAACAAACUGAUGAAAGAAUGAUCAUACCAAGGGAAUUCACUCAGAACUAACAAGAAUGAUAACGUGCUCCGACUGGAGCGGUUUAGGAACUGCUGGAAGGCUCUAGGGGAAUAAAGAUGGAAUGACUUCUAAUUUUUACGUUCGUAUGAUUUGAAAUACUUGCACACAAACCACGCAAAAGCGUUCCUGGAAAUCUCAUCCUAAAAAAGGACGUUUAGUAAUUCUAAAAGGGACUACAGGAUGAAAAAUAAUAGUUUGGGCAGUUAAAAUUUGAGAUUCGACGGUGCCGUAGAUCCGUUUGGUCAUCAGGUGUUACGAGCCACACCCAUGUCUAGCUAGAAUAGUGUGUUAGGCUCAGGCUAGAGAAGAAACGGGGAACAAACUGAUGAAAGAAUGAUCAUAUCGAGGGAAUUCACUCAGAACUAACAAGAAUGAUAACGUGCUCCGACUGGAGCAGUUUAGAAACUGCUGGAAGGCUCUAGGGGAAUAAAGAUGGAAUGACUUCUAAUUUUUAGGUCUGUAUGAUUUGAAAUACGUGCACACGAACCCCGAGAAAGCGUUCCUGGAAAUCUCGGCCCAAAAAAGGACGUUUAGUAAUUCUAAAAGGGACUACAGGAUGAAAAACAAUAGUUUUGGCAGUUAAAGUUUGAGAUUCGACGGUGCCGUAGAUCCGUUUGUUCAUCAGGUGUUACGAGCCACACCCAUGUCUAGCUAGAAUAGUGUGUUAGGCUCAGGCUAGAGAAGAAACGGGGAACAAACUGAUGAAAGAAUGAUCAUACCGAGGGAAUUCACUCAGAACUAACAAGAAUGAUAACGUGCUCCGACUGGAGCGGUUUAGGAACUGCUAGAAGGCUCUAGGGGAAUAAAGAAGGAAUGACUUCUAAUUUUUAGGUCCGUAUGAUUUGAAAUACGUGCACACAAACCCCGAGAAAGCGUUCCUGGAAAUCUUGGCCCAAAAAAGGACGUUUAGUAUUCUAAAAGCGACUACAGAAUGAAAAACAAUAGUUUUGCUAGUUAAAGUUUGAGAUUUGAUGGUGCCGUAGAUCUGUUUGGUCAUCAGGUUUUACGAGCCACACCCAUGUCUAGCUAGAAUAGUGUGUUAGGCUCAGGCUAGAAAAGAAACAGGGAAUAAAGUGAUGAAAGAAUGAUCAUACCAAGGGAAUUCACUCAGAACUAACAAGAACGAUAACAUGCUCCGACUGGAGUGGUUUAGAACUGCUGGAAGGCUAAAGGGGAAUAAAGAUGGAAUGACUUCUAAUUUUUAGGUCCGUAUGAUUUGAAAUACUUGCACACAAACCGCACGAAAGUGUUCCUGGAAAUCUCAGCCCAAAAAAGGACGUUUAGUAAUUCUAAAAGGGACUACAGGAUGAAAAACAAUAGUUUUGGCAGUUAAAGUUUGAGAUUCGAUAAUGACGUAGAUCCGUUUGGUCAUCAGGUGUAACGAGCCACACCCAUGUCUAGCUAGAGUAGUGUGCUAGGCUCAGACUAGAGAAGAAACGGGGAACAAACUGAUGAAAGAAUGAUCAUACCGAGGGAAUUCACUCAGAACUAACAAUAAUGAUAACGUGCUCCGACUAGAGCGGUUUAGGAACUGCUGGAAGGCUCUAGGGGAAUAAAGAUGGAAUGACUUCUAAUUUUUAGGUCCCUAUGAUUUGAAAUACUUGCACACAAACCGCGUGAAAGCAUUCCUGGAAAUUUCAGCCCAAAAAAGGACGUUUAGUAAUUUUAAAAGGGACUACACGAUGAAAAAGAAUAGUUUUGGCAGUUAAAGUUUGAGAUUCGACGGUGCCGUAGAUCCGUUUGGUCAUCAGGUGUUACGAGACACACCCAUGUCUAGCUAGAAUAGUAUGUUAGGCUCGGGUUAGAGAAGAAACGGGGAACAAACUGAUGAAAGAAUGAUCAUACCAAGGGAAUUCACUCAGAACUAACAAGAAUGAUAACGUGCUCCGACUGGAGCGGUUUAGGAACUGCUGGAAGGCUCUAGGGGAAUAAAGAUGGAAUGACUUCUAAUUUUUACGUUCGUAUGAUUUGAAAUACUUGCAAACAAACCACGCAAAAGCGUUCCUGGAAAUUUCAUCCUAAAAAAGGACGUUUAGUAAUUCUAAAAGGGACUACAGGAUGAAAAAUAAUAGUUUGGGCAGUUAAAAUUUGAGAUUCGAUGGUGCCGUAGAUCCGUUUGGUCAUCAGGUGUUACGAGCCACACCCAUGUCUAGCUAGAAUAGUGUGUUAGGCUCAGGCUAGAGAAGAAACGGGGAACAAACUGAUGAAAGAAUGAUCAUAUCGAGGGAAUUCACUCAGAACUAACAAGAAUGAUAACGUGCUCCGACUGGAGCAGUUUAGAAACUGCUGGAAGGCUCUAGGGGAAUAAAGAUGGAAUGACUUCUAAUUUUUAGGUCUGUAUGAUUUGAAAUACGUGCACACAAACCCCGAGAAAGCGUUCCUGGAAAUCUCGUCCGGAAAAAGGAUGUUUAAUAAUUCUAAAAGGGACUACAGGAUGAAAAACAAUAGUUUUGGCAGUUAAAGUUUGUGAUUCGAUGGUGCCGUAGAUCUGUUUGGUCAUCAGGUGUUACGGGCCACACCCAUGUCUAGCUAGAAUAGUGUGUUAGGCUCAGGCUAGAGCAGAAACGGGGAGCAAACUUAUGAAAGAAUGAUCAUAGCGAGGGAAUUUACUCAGAACUAACAAGAAUGAUAACGUGCUCCGACUGGAGCGGUUUAGGAACUGCUGGAAGGCUCUAGGGGAAUAAAGAUGGAAUGACUUCAAAUUUUCAGGUAUGUAUGAUCUGAAAUACUUGCACACAAACCGCGAGAAAGCGUUCCUGGAAAUCUCAACCCAAAAAAGGAUGUUUAGUAAUUCUAAAAGGGACUACAGGAUUAAAAACAAUAGUUUUGGCAGUUAAAGUUUGAGAUUCGAUAAUGUCGUAGAUCCGUUUGGUCAUCAGGUGUAACGAGCCACACCCAUGUCUAGCUAGAGUAGUGUGCUAGGCUCAUACUAGAGAAGAAACGGGGAACAAACUGAUGAAAGAAUGAUCAUACCGAGGGAAUUCACUCAGAACUAACAAGAAUGAUAACGUGCUCCGACUGGAGCGGUUUAGGAACUGCUGGAAGGCUCUAGGGGAAUAAAGAUGGAAUGACUUCUUAUUUUUAGGUCCGUAUGAUUUGAAAUACAUGCACACAAACCCCAAGAAAGCGUUCCGGGAAAUCUCGGCCCAAAGAAUGAUGUUUAGUAAUUCUAAAAGGGACUAUAGAAUGAAAAACAAUAGUUUUGGCAGUUAAAGUUUGAGAUUUGACGGUGUCGUAGAUCUGUUUGGUCAUCAGGUGUUACGAGCCACACCCAUUUCUAGCUAGAAUAGUGUGUUAGGCUCAGGCUAGAAAAGAAACGGGGAACAAAGUGAUGAAAGAAUGAUCAUACCGAGGGAAUUCACUCAGAACUAACAAGAAUGAUAACAUGCUCCGACUAGAGCGGUUUAGGAACUGCUGGAAGGCUCUAGGGGAAUAAAUAUGGAAUGACUUCUAAUUUUCAGGUCCGUAUGAUUUGAAAUACUUGCACACAAACCGCGCGAAAGCGUUCCUGGAAAUCUCAUCCCAAAGAAGGUCGUUUAGUAAUUCUAAAAGGGACUACAGGAUGAAAAACAAUAGUUUUGGCAAUUUAAGGUUUGAGAUUCGACGGUGCCGUAGAUCCGUUUGGUCAUCAGGUGUUACGAGCCACACCCAUGUCUAGCUAGAAUAGUGUGCUAGGCUCAGGCUAGAGAAGAAACAGGGAACAAACUGAUGAAAGAAUGAUCAAACCGAGGGAAUUCACUCAGAACUAACAAUAAUGAUAACGUUCUCCGUCUGGAGCGGUUUAGGAACUGCUGGAAGGCUCUAGGGGAAUAAAGAUGGAAUGACUUCUAAUUUUUAGGUCCGUAUGAUUUGAAAUACUUGCACACAAACCGCGCCAAAUCGUUCCUGGAAAUCUCAGCCCAAAAAAGGACGUUUAGUAAUUCUAAAAGGGACUACAGGAUGAAAAACAAUAGUUUUGGCAGUUAAAGUUUGAGAUUCGAUGGUGCCGUAGACCCGUUUGGUCAUCAGGUGUUACGAGCCACACCCAUGUCUAGCUAGAGUAGUGUGCUAGGUUCAGACUAGAGAAGAAACAGGGAACAAAGUGAUGAAAGAAUGAUCAUACCGAGGGAAUUCACUCAGAACUAACAAGAAUGAUAACGUGCUCCGACUGGAGCGGUUUAGGAACUGCUGGAAGGCUCUAGGGGAAUAAAGAUGGAAUGACUUCUAAUUUUUACGUCCGUAUGAUUUGAAAUACUUGCACACAAACCACGCAAAAGCGUUCCUGGAAAUCUCAGCCUAAAAAAGGACGUUUAGUAAUUCAAAAAGGGACUACAAAAUGAAAAACAAUAGUUUUGGCAGUUAAAGUUUGAGAUUCGAUGGUGCCGUAGAUCCGUUUGGUCAUCAGGUGUUACGAGCCACACCCAUGUCUAGCUAGGAUAGUGUGUUAGGCUCAGGCUAGAGAAGAAACGGGGAACAAACUGAUGAAAGAAUGAUCAUACCGAGGGAAUUCACUCAGAACUAACAAGGAUGAUAACAUGCUCCGACUAGAGCGGUUUAGGAACUGCUGGAAGGCUCUAGGGGAAUAAAGAUGGAAUGACUUCUAAUUUUUAGGUCCGUAUGAUUUGAAAUACUUGCACACAAACCGCAAGAAAGCGUUCCUGGAAAUCUCAGCCCAAAAAAGGACGUUUAGUAAUUCUAAAAGGGACUACAGGAUGAAAAACAAUAGUUCUGGCAGUUAAAGUUUGAGAUUCGAUAAUGCCGUAGAUCUGUUUGGUCAUCAGGUGUAACGAGCCACACCCAUGUCUAGCUAGAGUAGUGUGCUAGGCUCAGACUAGAGAAGAAACGGGGAACAAACUGAUGAAAGAAUGAUUAUACCGAGGGAAUUCACUCAGAACUAACGAGAAUGAUAACGUGCUCCGACUGGAGCGGUUUAGGAACUGCUGGAAGGCUCUAGGGGAAUAAAGAUGGAAUGACUUCAAAUUUUUAGGUCUGUAUGAUUUGAAAUACUUGCACACAAACCGCAAGAAAGCGUUCCUUGAAAUCUCAGCCCAAAAAAGGACGUUUAGUAAUUCUAAAAGGGACUACAGGAUGAAAAACAAUAGUUCUGGCAGUUAAAGUUUGAGAUUCGAUAAUGUCGUAGAUCCGUUUGGUCAUCAGGUGUAACGAGCCACACCCAUGUCUAGCUAGAGUAGUGUGCUAGGCUCAGAAUAGAGAAGAAACGGGGAACAAACUGAUGAAAGAAUGAUCAUACCGAGGGAAUUCACUCAGAACUAACAAGAAUGAUAACGUGCUCCGACUGGAGCGGUUUAGGAACUGCUGGAAGGCUCUAGGGGAAUAAAGAAGGAAUGACUUCUAAUUUUUAGGUCCGUAUGAUUUGAAAUACGUGCACACAAACCGCGCGAAAGCGUUCCUGGAAAUCUCAGCCAAAAAAAGGACGUUUAGUAUUCUAAAAGGGACUACAGAAUGAAAAACAAUAGUUUUGGCAGUUAAAGUUUGAGAUUCGACGGUGCUGUAGAUCCGUUUGGUCAUCAGGUGUUACGAGCCACACCCAUGUCUAGCUAGAAUAGUGUGCUAGGCUCAGGCUAGAGAAGAAAAGGGGAACAAACUAAUGAAAGAAUGAUCAAUCCGAGGGAAUUCACUCAGAACUAACAAUAAUGAUAACGUGCUCCGACUGGAGCGGUUUAGGAACUGCUGGAAGGCUCUAGGCGAAUAAAGAUGGAAUGACUUCUAAUUUUUACGUCCGUAUGAUUUGAAAUACUUGCACACAAACCACGCAAAAGCGUUCCUGGAAGUCUCGGCCUAAAAAGGACGUUUAGUAAUUCUAAAAGGGACUACAGGAUGAAAAAUAAUAGUUUGGGCAGUUAAAAUUUGAGAUUCGACGGUGCCGUAGAUCCAUUUGGUCAUCAAGUGUUACGAGCCACACCCAUGUCUAGCUAGAAUAGUGUGUUAGGCUCAGGCUAGAGAAGAAACGGGGAACAAACUGAUGAAAGAAUGAUCAUACCAAGGGAAUUCACUCAGAACUAACAAGAAUGAUAACGUGCUCCGACUGGAGCAGUUUAGAAACUGCUGGAAGGCUCUUGGGGAAUAAAGAUGGAAUGACUUCAAAUUUUUAGGUCCGUAUGAUUUGAAAUACUUGCACACAAACCACGCGAAAGCGUUCCUGGAAAUCUCAGCCCAAAAAAGGACGUUUAGUAAUUCUAAAAGGGACUACAUGAUGAAAAACAAUAGUUUUGGCAGUUAAAGUUUGAGAAUCGUCGGUGCCGUAGAUCCGUUUGGUCAUCAGCUGUAACGAGCCACACCCAUGUCUAGCUAGAGUAGUGUGCUAGGCUCAGACUAGAGAAGAAACAGGGAACAAAGUGAUGAAAGAAUGAUCAUACCGAGGGAAUUCACUUAGAACUAACAAGAAUGAUAACAUGCUCCGACUUGAGCGAUUUAGGAACUUCUGGAAGGCUCUAGGGGAAUAAAGAUGGAAUGACUCAAAUUUUUAGGCCCGUAUGAUUUGAAAUACAUGCACACAAACCGCGAGAAAGUGUUCCUGGAAAUCUUAGCCCAAAAAAGGACGUUUAGUAAUUCUAAAAGGGACUACAGGAUGAAAAACAAUAGUUUUGGUAGUUAAAGUUUCAGAUUCGAUAAUGCCCUAGAUCCGUUUGGUCAUCAGGUGUAACGAGCCACACCAAUGUCUAGCUAGAGUAGUGUGCUAGGCUCAGACUAGAUAAGAAACGGGGAAGAAACUGAUGAAAGAAUGAUCAGACCGAGGGAAUUCACUCAGAACUAACAAUAAUGAUAACGUGCUCCGAGUGGAGCGGUUUAGGAACUGCUGGAAGGCUCUAGGGGAAUAAAGAUGGAAUGACUUCUAAUUUUUAGGUCCGUAUGAUUUGAAAUACGUGCACACAAACCCCGAGAAACCGUUCCUUGAAAUCUCGGCCCAAAAAAGGACGUUUAGUAAUUCUAAAAGGGACUACAAAAUGAAAAACAAUAGUUUUGGCAGUUAAAGUUUGAGAUUCGACGGUGUCGUAGACCCGUUUGGUCUUCAGGUGUUACGAGCCACACCCAUGUCUAGCCAGAGUAGUGUGCUAGGUUCAGACUAGAGAAGAAACGGGGAACAAAGUGAUGAAAGAAUGAUCAUACCGAGGGAAUUCACUCAGAACUAACAAGAAUGAUAACGUGCUCCGACUGGAGCGGGUUAGGAACUCCUGGAAGGCUCUAGGGGAAUAAAGAUGGAAUGACUUCUAAUUUUUACGUCCGUAUGAUUUGAAAUACUUGCACACAAACCACGCAAAAGCGUUCCUGGAAAUCUCAGCCUAAAAAAGGACGUUUAGUAAUUCUAAAAGGGACUACAGGAUGAAAAAUAAUAGUUUGGUCAUCAGGUGUUACGAGCCACACCCAUGUCUAGCUAGAAUAGUGUGCUAGGCUCAGGCUAGAGAAGAAACGGGGAAUAAACUGAUGAAAGAAUGAUCAAACCGAGGGAAUUCACUCAGAACUAACAAUAAUGAUAACGUUCUCCGUCUGGAGCGGUUUAGGAACUGCUGGAAGGCUCUAGGGGAAUAAAGAUGGAAUGACUUCUAAUUUUUAGGUCCGUAUGAUACGAAAUACUUGCACACAAACCGCGCGAAAUCGUUCCUGGAAAUCUCAGCCCAAAAAAGGACGUUUAGUAAUUCUAAAAGGGACUACAGCAUGAAAAACAAUAGUUCUGGCAGUUAAAGUUUGAGAUUCGAUAAUGCCGUAGAUCCGUUUGGUCAUCAGGUGUAACGAGCCACACCCAUGUCUAGCUAGAGUAGUAUGCUAGGCUCAGACUAGAGAAGAAACGGGGAACAAACUGAUGAAAGAAUGAUUAUACCGAGGGAAUUCACUCAGAACUAACAAGAAUGAUAACGUGCUCCGGCUGGAGCGGUUUAGGAACUGCUAGAAGGCUCUAGGGGAAUAAAGAUGGAAUGACUUCAAAUUUUUAGGUCUGUAUGAUUUGAAAUACUUGCACACAAACCGCAAGAAAGCGUUCCUGGAAAUCUCAGCCCAAAAAAGGACGUUUAGUAAUUCUAAAAGGGACUAUAGGAUGAAAAACAAUAGUUCUGGUAGUUAAAGUUUGAGAUUCGAUAAUGUCAUAGAUCCGUUCGGUCAUCAGGUGUAACGAGCCACACCCAUGUCUAGCUAGAGUAGUGUGCUAGGCUCAGACUAGAGAAGAAACGGGGAACAAACUGAUGAAAGAAUGAUCAUACCGAGGGAAUUCACUCAGAACUAACAAGAAUGAUAACGUGCUCCGACUGGAGCGGUUUAGGAACUGCUGGAAGGCUCUAGGGGAAGAAAGAAGGAAUGACUUCUAAUUUUUAGGUCCGUAUGAUUUGAAAUACGUGCACACAAACCGCGCGAAAGCGUUCCUGGAAAUCUCAGCCCAAAAAAGGACGUUUAGUAUUCUAAAAGGGACUACAGAAUGAAAAACAAUAGUUUUGGCAGUUAAAGUUUGAGAUUCGACGGUGCCGUAGAUCCGUUUGGUCAUCAGGUGUUACGAGCCACACCCAUGUCUAGCUAGAAUAGUGUGCUAGGCUCAGGCUAGAGAAGAAAAGGGGAACAAACUGAUGAAAGAAUGAUCAAACCGAGGGAAUUCACUCAGAACUAACAAUAAUGAUAACGUGCUCCGACUGGAGCGGUUUAGGAACUGCUGGAAGGCUCUUGGCGAAUAAAGAUGGAAUGACUUCUAAUUUUUACGUCCGUAUGAUUUGAAAUACUUCCACACAAACCAGGCAAAGGCGUUCCUGGAAAUCUCGGCCUAAAAAGGACGUUUAGUAAUUCUAAAAGGGACUACAGGAUGAAAAAUAAUAGUUUGGGCAGUUAAAAUUUUAGAUUCGACGGUGCCGUAGAUCCGUUUGGUCAUCAGGUGUUACGAGCCACACCCAUGUCUAGCUAGAAUAGUGUGUUAGGCUCAGGCUAGAGAAGAAACGGGGAACAAACUGAUGAAAGAAUGAUCAUACCAAGGGAAUUCACUCAGAACUAACAAGAAUGAUAACGUGCUCCGACUGGAGCAGUUUAGAAACUACUGGAAGGCUCUAGGGGAAUAAAGAUGGAAUGACUUCAAAUUUUUAGGUCCGUAUGAUUUGAAAUACUUGCACACAAACCGCGCGAAAGCGUUCCUGGAAAUCUCAGCCCAAAAAAGGACGUUUAGUAAUUCUAAAAGGGACUACAUGAUGAAAAACAAUAGUUUUGGCAGUUAAAGUUUGAGAUUCGUCGGUGCCGUAGAUCCGUUUGGUCAUCAGCUGUAACGAGCCACACCCAUUUCUAGCUAGAGUAGUGUGCUAGGCUCAGACUAAAGAAGAAAUGGGGAACAAAGUGAUGAAAGAAUGCUCAUACCGAGGGAAUUCACUCAGAACUAACAAGAAUGAUAACAUGCUCCGACUUGAGCGAUUUAGGAACUUCUGGAAGGCUCUAGGGGAAUAAAGAUGGAAUGACUCAAAUUUUUAGGUCCGUAUGAUUUGAAAUACUUGCACACAAACCGCGAGAAAGCGUUCCUGGAAAUCUCAGCCCAAAAAAGGACGUUUAGUAAUUCUAAAAGGGACUACAUGAUGAAAAACAAUAGUUUUGGCAGUUAAAGUUUGAGAUUUGAUAAUGCCGUAGAUCCGUUUGGUCAUCAGGUGUAACGAGCCACACCCAUGUCUAGCUAGAGUAGUGUGCUAGGCUAAGACUAGAUAAGAAAAGGGGAAGAAACUUAUGAAAGAAUGAUCAGACCGAGGGAAUUCACUCAGAACUAACAAUAAUGAUAACGUGCUCCGACUGGAGCGGUUUAGGAACUGCUGGAAGGCUCUAGGGGAAUAAAGAUGGAAUGACUUCUAAUUUUUAGGUCCGUAUGAUUUGAAAUACGUGCACACAAACCCCGAGAAACCGUUCCUGGAAAUCUCGGCCCAAAAAAGGAUGUUUAGUAAUUCUAAAAGGGACUACAAAAUGAAAAACAAUAGUUUUGGCAGUUAAAGUUUGAGAUUUGAUGGUGCCGUAGAUCUGUUUGGUCAUCAGGUGUUACGAGCCACACCCAUGUCUAGCUAGAAUAGUGUGUUAGGCUCAGGC